rnacentral:lncRNA from 1 species
ACCUUCAUCCUCGGACUGAAAUAAACAACUGACCUAAGAAGGUUCAUAUUUUGGCCUGAAGCCAGAUAAUACUCCAAAUCCUCCUGAAUCCGACAAUAUUCCAGACUGAAGCCUGGCCCAUCAGCAGGUAAUCAUCUGCAAAAAUAAAUUCAAGAUCAGCUGGAUCUCCGGGCCGACACAUAGGGAUCUAAUGCCAACCCCUAAGAUGCAGUACAUAGAGCUCAUGAGAAGAUGCCAACAUAGAUAAUGAAGAGGUAAGGGGAUAGAUGAUAGCUUUGUCACAAUCCGACCAUGGAGCAGAAGAAGUCUAAGGGCAUCCUAUUGAUCAAAAUGGCAAAAGAGGAGCUGCAUAUACAAACUAUAAUCCAAUCGAUCCAAUAGGGAUGAAAAUUAGAGUCCAACAAGACCUCUUUAGGGAACCACCAACUUAUACGAUCAUGGACUUGCUCUAUAUCUUGUUUGAUUGCCAUGAGACUGUGGUGGGUGGAGGCACAAUAAAAAUCAUGCACAAAUUUUUGAGCAAUGAGGAUAUUAUCAGAGAUGCUGUGACCAUUGACGAACAUCUCUUGCUCCAGACAAAUCAGAUAGGGAAGAAUGAGCUUCAUCCUGCACACCAUAA